rnacentral:rRNA from 1 species
AAACGAUACUAGCUUGCUAGUAGGCGUCGAGUGGCGGACGGGUGAGUAACGCGUAGGAAUCUACCUGAUAGUGGGGGAUAGCCCGAAGAAAUUCGGAUUAAUACCGCAUAAUCUAUUCGUAGUAAAGUGGGGGACUUUCGAGCCUCACGCUAUCAGAUGAGCCUGCGUAAGAUUAGCUAGUUGGUAGGGUAAAAGCCUACCAAGGCGACGAUCUUUAGCUGGUCUGAGAGGAUGAUCAGCCACAUCGGGACUGAGACACGGCCCGAACUCCUACGGGAGGCAGCAGUGGGGAAUAUUGGACAAUGGGGGCAACCCUGAUCCAGCAAUACCGCGUGUGUGAAGAAGGCCUGAGGGUUGUAAAGCACUUUCAAUUGGAAGAAAAGCUAGUGGUUAAUAGCCAUUAGCCUUGACGUUAACUUAGAAGAAGCACCGGCU